rnacentral:tRNA from 1 species
GCCUUCGUAGUGUAGUGGUCAACACUCUCGAUGCGAAUUCCAGAGGUCCGUGGUUCGAGUCCCGGCGAAGGCG